rnacentral:rRNA from 1 species
AUGAAUCACGAAGAUGGCGCUGAUCCUUGGCUUUCUCAAAGGCCGGAAACGCCACCUUGGGAUGCAGCAGAGUACAAUCAACUCAUUUCUUCAGGGCCAUUGCUGCCACUACUAGAGCACUACGCGGGCAUCGGUUCUUAUGACCAAACCACAAUCAGGGGGGCGGCAUGGCAAGUUUCGUCACAGGGCGGUAACACUGACAAAUGUACGGGCAACCAACUUCAGCUAGCUAAUGUGGCAAAUCAAGGACCUUCAUGCGGCACGUGGCAUCAGGCAGCAACCAUGUACCUGCCAUCAACGUCGUACACAGGUGAGUGCAUGAAAGUGAAGUUGUGGACAGUUGUUACGGUGGAACCACAUCGGCAAAACAUCUCAUGGCAAGCUUCACAGUUGCAGGAAAGCGCUAUUGCAGAUAGAGCAAAUCAAAUUGGAAUGACAGACCACACAAGAUCGGCACAUGCGGCACAACAAGUUCUGAUGCUGAAAGAAGCUGGUUGCCAUGUGUGGGCAACAGUAGUUGCCAUGUGUGUUGGACUAUUUCUUCCAUUGCUAUAUGCUACAAGUUCUCAAGCUAAAAGACGCUGGUUGCCAUGUGUUGGCAAUGGACCUUCAACUACAAUUAACAGCGGCGCGGGGACAUCUACUGCGGGGAGCUCUGAGCGCACGGAAGACGCGUUCCACCAGCCAGCCAACACUCAUGCCACAAACUAUGCCAAGUCAGUGUCGGAAAUGGCAAUCGUGCCAGCAAUACCGACAAGCACACAUGUGCACACCAGCACAAGCAACACUCAAACAGGUGAAACAGCCGCCGAUACUGAAGUGAAUGAUGAAACCGAUGACGAAGCACAAGGGGAUGAAGAUGGUGGGCAAUCAGAAAUCAUGGUACCCCAGCCACCGGGUGAGAUGAGGUGCUACAAGGCACGGAGAAACAAGAAGGGCAAAGGUGAUGCGGCUGUCGUUCCGGAACGAAAGAGAGGUAUCAUUGUCAAGACGGAAUGCCUUGUCCGGUGUAAGCUGAACGUAGAUGGAGCACAGUGGGUGGUCACUGAAUAUUUUGACGAGCACAACCACGAGCUAAUAAAGAAGUUUGACCUGGUAAAAUUUCUGACCGCACACAGAGGAUUUACCCCCCUCGAGAAGAAAUUCAUAAAGCUGCUACAUGAUUGUAAUGUCGGUCCAUCAAGAAUGGUGCAGAUACUCUCCCCCACCCAUAGCAAAAACGGGUCUCUGAGUAGCAUGCCCUACCUACCAGCAGACGUCACAAAUCUAAAGGCAAAAUUCCAGGAAGAAAUAAAGUGUGCCAGCAUGUACACGGCUUUCCAGGUGGAUGAACAUACGUUCAAGGUGUGUUCUAUCAUGGGCAUGUCGGAUUCAGAACCUGAAGACCCAGACAAGGGAAGGAACUACUUUGUGAAGGCAUCGAUAAGCGAAGGCAAAUACUACUGCCAAUGCUGCAAAUUCGAACGGGACGGGAUUGUGUGCUGUCACAUUCUAAAAGUAAUGGACUUGAACGCAGUGACACGAAUGCCCCGCCAUUUCAUAAGGCGGCGAUGGACUUGGGACGAUGACGACGCAUUGGCGCCGCAAACAUCACACGCAGUUUUAGCCGUGCAUGAAGAGAGACCAGAGUCAACCAUGGAAGCCGUGAGGCACAUUGUGUUGACAAAAAACUAUGCUGAACUAAUUGAUGAAGCGUGCAAGAGUGAUGAGACAGCAAGGGUCGCAGAAAAACACAGGAAGGCCCUCAAAAGAGAGCUUGAUGAGAUGAAGAAGAGGAAAGCUGAGGAAGCCUUACACAGGUUCCCCCGCACAUCAAGUGUGCCUUCGUCCACAGGGCCAUCAUCUGAAAACUCGGAGGUAGGAUCUGGAACAGCAAGCACACAAACACAGGUUAGGAACCCGCCCCGUUCCAUCACAAAAGGGCGUCCAAAAGAGAUAAGAUACAAAUCGGGAUUGGAGAUUCAAGCAAAACACAAGAAACCAAAGAAAGGGUCAGGCAAUCCGUAA